AAGGGCACAUAAGCAAUUUACUAGCAUCAGAGCUGCAUAUACUUAACUUUCCUUUGGUGUCCAGAAAAAAAGGGGGGCAUGGCAUAGAGCACUUGUGCCACCAAGAAAGUUGUGAGGGUUAGCAGAACAAAAAGACAGACAGGCCAGAAACACGGUGGAGCUUUGCAUGCAAAAAAGGGGGAAAAUCUUUUCCUUGGCAUAGAGAAAUUGCAUCCCGAAGAGGUGAUCAAACUGAGGCCAACAUGACGACUUCUGCGACUGAAAGCAUCUGCCACUGACCAAUUCAGCACUGGACUCCAUCUUCUAAAGUCAGGUGUGGUGGCACACGCUGGUAAUCUCAGAACCAAGGAGGCUGAAACAACAGGAUCACAAAUUCAAGGCCAGCCUAGGUCACAUACUGUGGUGGUCUAAAAGAAAGAGACCCCCAAAAGGAAUGGUAUUAUUAGGUGAAGAGGUCUUGUGGAGUAGGUGUGGCCUUGUUAGAGAAAGUGUGUCACUGUGGGGGUAGGCUUUGAGGUCUCUUAUGCUC